UACGGAGGGGGCUAGCGUUGUUCGGAAUUACUGGGCGUAAAGCGCACGUAGGCGGCUUUGUAAGUUAGAGGUGAAUGCCCAGGGCUUAACCCUGGAAUUGCCUUUAAGACUGCAUCGCUAGAAUCGUGGAGAGGUGAGUGGAAUUCCGAGUGUAGAGGUGAAAUUCGUAGAUAUUCGGAAGAACACCCGUGGCGAAGGCGGCUCUCUGGGACGGUACUGACGCUGAGACGCGAAAGCGUGGGGAGCGAACAGG
rnacentral:rRNA from 1 species